ensembl:lncRNA
AAGUUAAGCGGUUCGAGCUGAAUUAAGCGCAGAAGUUCGGUACAAAGAAUAAUAACUAGAAAAUGCAUUUCCUGAAGGAAAUACCAGUGCAUGAAAUGCAAAAGUUAAGAAAGGAAGAAAAAAAAAAGAAGAGUGAAAGAACGAAAGAAGAGUGGAAGAAGAGUAAAAGAAGGAAAGAAGUGAGGAAGAAGGAAAGAAGAGUGGAAGAAGGAAAGAAGAAAGGAAAGAAGAGUGAAGAAAGGAAAGAAGAGUGAAGAAAGGAAAGAAGAAAAGAAAGA